rnacentral:rRNA from 1 species
GAUGAACGCUGGCGGAGUGCCUAAUACAUGCAAGUCGAGCGAAAAGACGAGGAGCUUGCUCCUCUGACGUUAGCGGCGGACGGGUGAGUACCACGAGGAUAACCUACAUAUCAGACUGGGAUAACUUCGGGAGAACGGUGAUACUACAGGAUAAUAUAUUGAACCGCAUGGUUCAAUAGAGAAAGACGGUUUUGCUGUCAAUUAUAGAUGGAUCCGCGCCGCAUUAGCUAGUUGGUAAGGUACCGGCUUACCAAGGCAACGAUGCGUAGCCGACCGGAGAGGGUGAUCCGCCACACUGGAACUGAGACACGGUCCAGACGCCUACGGGAGGCAGCAGUAGGGAAUCUUCCGCAAUGGGCGAAAGCCUUACGGAGCAACGCCGCGUGUGUGAUGAAGGUCUUCGGAUCGUAAAACUCUGUUAUUAGGGAAGAACAAUUGUGUAAGUAGCUAUGCACGUCUUGACGGUACCAAAACAAAAAGCCACGGCUAACUACGUG